rnacentral:rRNA from 1 species
CUACGGGAUGCUGCAGUGAGGAAUAUUGCACAAUGGGGGGAACCCUGAUGCAGCAACGCCGCGUGGAGGAUGACGCAUUUCGGUGUGUAAACUCCUUUUAUAUGUCAAGAAAAUGACGGUAGCAUAUGAAUAAGCACCGGCUAACUCCGUGCCAGCAGCCGCGGUAAUACGGAGGGUACAAGCGUUACUCGGAAUCACUGGGCGUAAAGGACGCGUAGGCGGGUUGGAAAGUCAGGUGUGAAAUCCUACAGCUUAACUGUAGAACUGCACUUGAAACUUCUAAUCUAGAGUAUGAGAGGGGGAGAUGGAAUUAGUGGUGUAGGGGUAAAAUCCGUAGAUAUCGCUAGGAAUACCUAAAGCGAAGGCGAUCUCCUGGAACAUUACUGACGCUAAGGCGUGAAAGCGUGGGGAGCAAACAGGAUUAGAUACCCCAGUAGUC